rnacentral:siRNA from 1 species
UGUCGUUCCGGUCCUACUUGUG